rnacentral:lncRNA from 10 species
ACUAAUGGUGGCUGUGGGCACUGCCUUGCUGAUCUGGGUUCUCUUGAGGCUAACUGUGCAGAACACUUCUAGAAUAAAUGAAGAUCAUGUAACAAAUAGAGAUGGUAGUGCUGUCUGAAGAGUCUCUGGAGUAUGUCACUGUGCUUCUUACCAACAUAGGGAUGCCUUGACUAAAGUGGGCCUGAAAUGGCUGAAAAGAAAAACCCUUAGUUUCUACAGACAGAAAUGUUGCUACCCUCAAAGUGCCACAGCAUGAACAGAAGACUUGUCUCACAGAAGUCAACAGUCAUUGAGGAGAUGCAUGUAGACAUGGAGCAGAACCCCUGUGUGGUGGGCUGCAGACUGCUUCCUCCAACCUCCCUGCCCCAUCCCCACACAAAAAGAUAACCAAAUCCUAAUCUCUGGAACCUGUAAAUGUUUCCUUAUUUUGAAAAAGAGUCAUUGCAGAUGUGA